rnacentral:rRNA from 1 species
CCUACGGGAGGCAGCAGUGAGGAAUAUUGGUCAAUGGACGAGAGUCUGAACCAGCCAAGUAGCGUGAAGGAUGACUGCGCUAUGGGUUGUAAACUUCUUUUAUAUGGGAAUAAAGUGUUCCACGUGUGGGAGUUUGUAUGUACCAUAUGAAUAAGGAUCGGCUAACUCCGUGCCAGCAGCCGCGGUAAUACGGCGGAUCCGAGCGUUAUCCGGAUUUAUUGGGUUUAAAGGGAGCGUAGGUGGGUUGGUAAGUCAGUUGUGAAAGUUUGGGGCUCAACCGUAACAUUGCAGUUGAAACUGGCAUUCUUGAGUACGGGAGAGGUGGGCGGAAUUCGUGGUGUAGCGGUGAAAUGCUUAGAUAUCACGAAGAACUCCGAUUGCGAAGGCAGCUCACUGGACUGCAACUGACACUGAGGCUCGAAAGUGUGGGUAUCAAACAGGAUUAGAUACCCGAGUAGUC